AUGGACAUGUGGAAAUGGAAGAGUUCGCAUUAUCUAGGGGAAAAGUAUUGUUAUUCUCCAUUCACCCAUUUUGCAACCUUCUUUCUUCCUAAAAUUGAACCUAAGGAUAAAUAAUUGGCAAUUUAGCCGGCCCAUGAUAGCAUGCAUACUUGCCCUAUUAAGCCCCAUGAUAGCAUGGAACAAGGCCUCACUUCUCCCACCCAUGAUAGCAUGCAUACUUCGCUCUGUGAUAUGCCACCCAAUUACAGGACCUAUUAAGCCAGAAUAUAGGAUUUUCAAAAGAUGGCUCACAUAUAGGAAGCACAUCCGUAGCAAUUGGAGCAUUAUAUAGUGGAAAUCCCUUCUUGCUUUUGAUGGCAUUAAUUAUAACUGCUGCAUCUGAUUCCACCGUGAAAUGGAAAAAUCCCCAUCCGACUGCUGCUCAAACACUCUCCCGUAUAGCUAAAAGCUUCUACCACUCUUGAAGAUUUCACAUCCUAAAAGCAUAUCAGGUUGACUGCAAUCACAAUCCCCUUGUAAUUUCUAGCAAUAACCCCCACAUCUACUCUAUUCUAGAACUUGAUCUUCAGCUACAUCCGCAUUGAUUUAUCAAAACCCAUCUGGGCACCUUCCAAACCUCAUGUUGCAUAACUAUAUCAUUAGGUGUUUCACCCCAUUAGUCAUAGGAUCAUAGUAUUCUCAAUAAUUGAACAGCGUCUUAGAAGCAACAGCCCCAGGGAUCCCACAAUUUAUGAAGACUAAAUCAUUUCUUGAUUUCCACAGCCACCAACUAAUUAAACCCAUCAUGCAACAGGCUUCGGACUGGAUACAUCUCCCUAGCUUAUCCACCAAAG
rnacentral:lncRNA from 1 species